rnacentral:rRNA from 1 species
UACGAAGGGGACUAGCGUUGUUCGGAAUCACUGGGCGUAAAGCGCACGUAGGCGGAUAUGUCAGUCAGGGGUGAAAUCCCGGGGCUUAACCUCGGAACUGCCUUUGAUACAGCAUAUCUUGAGUCCGAUAGAGGUGGGUGGAAUUCCUAGUGUAGAGGUGAAAUUCGUAGAUAUUAGGAAGAACACCGGUGGCGAAGGCGGCCCACUGGAUCGGUACUGACGCUGAGGUGCGAAAGCGUGGGGGAGCAAACAGG